rnacentral:rRNA from 1 species
CGACCAGACUCCUACGGGAGGCAGCAGUGGGGAAUAUUGCACAAUGGGGGAAACCCUGAUGCAGCGACGCCGCGUGAGCGAUGAAGUAUUUCGGUAUGUAAAGCUCUAUCAGCAGGGAAGAAAAUGACGGUACCUGACUAAGAAGCCCCGGCUAACUACGUGCCAGCAGCCGCGGUAAUACGUAGGGGCAAGCGUUAUCCGGAUUUACUGGGUGUAAAGGGAGCGUAGACGGCUGUGCAAGCCAGAUGUGAAAGCCCGGGGCUCAACCCCGGGACUGCAUUUGGAACUGCGUGGCUUGAGUGUCGGAGAGGCAGGCGGAAUUCCUAGUGUAGCGGUGAAAUGCGUAGAUAUUAGGAGGAACACCAGUGGCGAAGGCGGCUUGCUGGACAGUAACUGACGUUGAGGCUCGAAAGCGUGGGGAGCAAACAGGAUUAGAUACCCCCGUAC